rnacentral:lncRNA from 1 species
UUAAUGCUAAAACAAUGGUUUAUUUUCCCAGGGAAUUCUUCGUUUUGCUAGCCUUCUUCAGAGUGACUUGGGUUUCAGAUCAUUUCUUCCCCAUCUACAAGCAGCGCCAGGUGAGCUGGAUGACAGUUCCCUUCGAUGUGCUGAAGCAGGCUGCCUGACUCAUCUUUGCUCUUCCAGAGUUCCCUACCCUCUGGAAAUUAAAACUUUACAUCUUCCGGGAAGUGGAUGUGGCUCAACUGAUAGAGCGUCCAUCUACAACAUGGAGGCUCCAGGGUUUGAUCCCCAGGGCCUCCUGACCCAUGUGGUGAGCUGGCCCAUGUGCAGUGCUGCUGCUGUGUGCAAGGAGUGCCAUGCCAUGCAGGGGUGCCCCAUGCGCAAGGUGUGCGCCCCGCAAGGACAGCCGACCCAUGUGAAAAAGCGCAGCCCACCCAGGAGUGGCACCACACACACGGAGAGCUGACACAGCAAGAUGACACGACAAAAAAGAGAUGCAGUUUCCCCAGUGCCGCCAGAUAAUGUAAGCGGAUGCAGAAGAACACACAGUGUAUGGACACAGAGA